CGGGGUAUGGUGUAGCGGUAACAUGUAUGCAUGGGGUGCAUAAGACGCUGGGUUCGACUCCCAGUACCCCGA
rnacentral:tRNA from 1 species